GGAAGGGUGCGAGAGUGGUUUAAUCGGACGGCCUGGAGAGCCGUGGCGCCAAAAGCGCCUCGUGGGUUCGAAUCCCACCCCUUCCG
rnacentral:tRNA from 1 species